GGUAAUACGUAGGUGGCAAGCGUUAUCCGGAAUUAUUGGGCGUAAAGCGCGCGCAGGUGGUUUCUUAAGUCUGAUGUGAAAGCCCACGGCUCAACCGUGGAGGGUCAUUGGAAACUGGGAGACUUGAGUGCAGAAGAGGAAAGUGGAAUUCCAUGUGUAGCGGUGAAAUGCGUAGAGAUAUGGAGGAACACCAGUGGCGAAGGCGACUUUCUGGUCUGUAACUGACACUGAGGCGCGAAAGCGUGGGGAGCAAACAGGAUUA
rnacentral:rRNA from 1 species